rnacentral:rRNA from 1 species
UACGGAGGGGGCGAGCGUUAUUCGGAAUUAUUGGGCGUAAAGAGCGUGUAGGCGGCCAGACAGGUCCGUUGUGAAAACUCGAGCUCAACCUCGAGACGCCGAUGGAAACCGUUUGGCUAGAGUCCGGAAGAGGAGAGUGGAAUUCCUGGUGUAGCGGUGAAAUGCGCAGAUAGUCAGGAAGAACACCCGUGGCUAAGGCGGCUCUCUAGUACGGUACUGACGCUGAGACGCGAAAGCGUGGGGAGCGAACAGG